rnacentral:rRNA from 1 species
UACAGAGGUGGCAAACGUUGCUCGGAAUCACUGGGCGUAAAGGGCGUGUAGGCGGGAAGGAUAGUCAGAUGUGAAAGCCCUGGGCUCAACCCAGGAACUGCAUUUGAAACUCCCUUUCUUGAGUGUCGGAGAGGAAAGCGGAAUUCCUGGUGUAGAGGUGAAAUUCGUAGAUAUCAGGAGGAACACCGGUGGCGAAGGCGGCUUUCUGGACGACAACUGACGCUGAGACGCGAAAGCGUGGGGAGCAAACAGG